rnacentral:pre_miRNA from 1 species
GGAGCACUUGCCGUUUGCAAAUGUUGCCUUCAUUUCAUCUGCAAGGUAAAGUGCUGUCCA